CCCCUGAAUAUCUUUUUAUGGUGAGGUUUUUCGAUAAAACUUUCAAAACAAAAGUUGUAGGAUUUCAGAAGUUGAAUCUGAUGGUGACCAUAAAAUUGAUCUGAAGGUCAUUUCGAGGUCAGCUUAAUUUAAAAACCGUGAAGUUUGAAAGUCAUUUUAAGAUCAAAGCGAGCAUUUUCUGAAAAAUGUUUCAGACAAAAGCUUCUCAGUUUUUAGCGUAGAUCCCGAAUCUGUCAUGAAAAUAUGCAUGUUCUAUUUGAAAAAAUAAAGUUGACCUUGAAAUGGCCUUCAGGGUCAAACUUAAGGUCAAUUUUAAGGUCACUAUCACAUUCAGCUUCUGAAGUUCUAUAACUUUUGUUUUGAAAGUUUUAUCGAAAGACCUCACUAUAAAAAAAUAUUUAGGGGUUCCCUUAUUUUUAAGACAUCCUGUAUAAUACGCUCUUGAUAAGAGCAGUGUACGAUACGGUAUGUAAAAAUCGCCAUUUCGAGAAACCAAUACGGUCAGAAUUUCAGACACAGAUGAGAGUCACUGCGCGUAGCAAAGGAGAGAAACUACAGCAGGACAAGUGGCUCAAGAACACGGGAUGAAGAAGCGCGAAGAACAAAUGGAUGGACGACGAAGCAGACGACGACGAGGACAACGUUUGAGCAUGAUAUUACAAAUAACAUGAUAUUUAGAUAAGUAAAAAUUGUCCAUGUCCGAACAUGUACCUGAAGCAGAAUGAUUAGGUACAUGUUGAGGCAUUGAUGCUUUUAUGUUUAAAAGUGUAUGAUAUAUUGUUUCCAAUAAUACUUAAUUACUAUUGAUUUAUUUUAUUCUAUUAAUACUAUCUUCACAGGAUCACUCUCAGCGCAGCCCAGCGGCCUAUGACCAGGAAGAAGAGGAAGAAGACCAAGAAGGAGGACUUACUUUCCAUUGGAGGGAAAGGGGGGAGGAGGAGGAGGAGUAGAAACCAUAGAUAGUUUCCGUCUGCGGUGGUUUUUGCAGACGAAUCGGUACUUUUCAGUGCCACUUAUUUUUAUUAUCUAAGACGUGGAAACCUAAUAUUCGCAAUUAAUGUGUGUGCGUGUGGUGUGGUGUGCAGUGGUGUGUGUGUGUGUGUGUGUGUGUGUGUGUGUGUGUGUGUGUGUGUGUGUGUGUGUGUGAGGAUGUGUUAUUACUUAUUUAUACAGUAUCUGGUGGCAUAAAAGAAACCAAACGGACUGUGAGAAACUCUCGUACUGAAACUAGAGAAAUUGUCAUUGGCCUUUAAUGAAGCUUUCAAAAAGAUGUCUUAAAUAGAUUAAAAGAUAUUCCAUUUAUUGCAAAACAUCCAGUACUGAAACUAGAGAAAUUGUCAUUGGCCAUUAAUGAAGCUUUCAAAAAGAUGUCUUAAAUAGAUUAAAAGAUAUUCCAUUUAUUGCAAAACAUCCAGUACUGAAACUAGAGAAAUUGUCAUUGGCCAUUAAUGAAGCUUUCAAAAAGAUGUCUUAAAUAGAUUAAAAGAUAUUCCAUUUACUGCAAAACAUCCAGCAAAAGGAUUAAGUGAGGGAAACAUAUGAAGUGCAGUAAAACAACAUGUUCAUAUAGGUAACUCUGACAGGAAAGCAGGUCAAGUAUACAGUUUACAGGACAUAUCAUGCUUUGAUACUGCUCAAAUUAUGCCCAGCAUAGUAUGCAGCAUACAUUUAGCAAAGCCUGACAUUAGUAGGCUUGGCUAUUUGGGAAGCAGUCAAUAUAUCAAAAUAUGUCUAUAUGAAAUGAGUAUAUCGCCAUUAUAACCAUGACUUUAUACUAACUUUUUAUAAUUUAAAUAUAGAUUGAGAAACUGGAUAGAAUAUAUAUUUUUGGUAUUCCACGUUACGUUAUAUUACGAAGGAACAUAGAGGUUCUGUGACAAAGGUAAUUAAAUCAGAUUAUUGAACAAUAAGUACAGAAACAAUCCAGAUGGCCAAGCCUGCUAAAGUCAGGCUUUGCUAAAUGUAUGCUGUAUACUAUGCUGGCAUAAUUUGGACAGUAUCAAAGCAUGAUCUGUCGUAUCAGAGAGUAUCAAAGAGUAUCAGACACGUAGAAAUGAAACAGAAAUCUAACAGAACCUGCGUCAUGAUAUGAUAGUAGAAAUACUACAAGAAUAAAGUACAAUAUGUCAACACAGGAAAAGAAAAAUUUAAUAUGUCGACAAGAAGCAGCAUAAAAUCGAACAUGGAAUAACGAUAAUUAGAUAAAUUAUGAUAAUUAGAUAAAUUAUGAUAAAAUUGUACAGCAUAUAAAAUGACAUUUAUAUAUACAUAAUAAAUUUCCCAACUCAGCAAACACAAAAUAACAAUAACAUAAUUGUGCGUUAUAAUUUCCCUUUCAACCAUGUAACUGUUUACACGGUCGAGUGGAAAAUUAUAACUGACAGUUUUAUUAUUAUUACUUUGAGUUUACCAGGAGUUUAUUCAAUAAAUUUAUUGUAUAUCUUUAUAGUACCUUCCUUAAAUUCAUUAAUUAAUAAUUAAGUCGGUCGUUGAAGGAAUACUGCAAAACAAUUUAAAUUUUGUGCUACACUGUGAUGGAAGAAAUUUGCUGAAAAUGCAAUAAAAUCGUUGAAAAUACAAUGAAAUCGUCGAAAUGAGAAAUGAAAAUUACUGAAAAGUUGCUGAAAAUAUUUCAUCAUGAAUCAUGAUUUUCAUUAUGAAUUG